GAUGAAGAACGUAGCGAAAUGCGAUAAGUAGUGUGAAUUGCAGAAUUCAGUGAAUCAUCGAAUCUUUGAACGCACAUUGCGCCCCUUGGUAUUCCAUGGGGCAUGCCUGUUCGAGCGUCAUUAUAACCCCUCAAGCUCAGCUUGGUGUUGGGGCCUGCCAACUGGCAGCCCUUAAAAUCAGUGGCGGCGCCAUCUGGCUCUAAGCGUAGUAAUUUCUCUCGCUAUGGAGUCCCGGUGGACGCUUGCCAGCAACCCCCAACUUUCUAUGGUUGACCUCGGAUCAGGUAGGGAUACCCGCUGAACUUAAGCAUAUCAAUAAGCGGAGGA
rnacentral:misc_RNA from 1 species